UACAGAGGUCCCAAGCGUUGUUCGGAUUCACUGGGCGUAAAGGGUGCGUAGGUGGUUAGGUAGGUCCGAUGUGAAAUCUCCAGGCUCAACCUGGAAAUGGCAUUGGAUACUAUCCAGCUUGAGGUGUGGAGGGGGGACUGGAAUUCUCGGUGUAGCAGUGAAAUGCGUAGAUAUCGAGAGGAACACCAGUGGCGAAGGCGAGUCCCUGGACACUUCCUGACACUGAGGCACGAAAGCUAGGGGAGCAAACAGG
rnacentral:rRNA from 1 species